UUCCGGUUUGAUCCUGCCGGACCCGACUGCUAUCAGAGUGGGACUAAGCCAUGCGAGUCGACGUAGCAAUGCGUGGCGAACGGCUCAGUAACACGUAGUCAACAUGCCCAGGGGACGUGGAUAACCUCGGGAAACUGAGAAUAAACCACGAUAGGUCACGAUUUCUGGAAUGGAUCAUGGCCUAAAUCUACAUGGCCCCUGGAUUGGACUGCGGCCGAUCAGGCUGUUGGUGAGGUAAUGGCCCACCAAACCUAUAACCGGUACGGGCUCUGAGAGGAGAAGCCCGGAGAUGGGCACUGAGACAAGGGCCCAGGCCCUAUGGGGCGCAGCAGGCGCGAAACCUCUGCAAUAGGCGAAAGCCUGACAGGGUUACUCUGAGUGAUUUCCGCUAAGGGGAUCUUUUGGCACCUCUAAAAAUGGUGCAGAAUAAGGGGUGGGCAAGUCUGGUGUCAGCCGCCGCGGUAAUACCAGCACCCCGAGUGGUCGGGACGAUUAUUGGGCCUAAAGCAUCCGUAGCCGGUUCUGCAAGUCUUCCGUUAAAUCCAGCCGCUCAACGGAUGGGCCGCGGAGGAUACUACAGGACUAGGAGGCGGGAGAGGCAAGCGGUACUCAGUGGGUAGGGGUAAAAUCCUUUGAUCCAUUGAAGACCACCAGUGGCGAAGGCGGCUUGCCAGAACGCGCUCGACGGUGAGGGAUGAAAGCUGGGGGAGCAAACCGGAUUAGAUACCCGGGUAGUCCCAGCUGUAAACGAUGCAGACUCGGUGAUGGGCUAGCCUUGUGCCAGCCCAGUGCCGCAGGGAAGCCGUUAAGUCUGCCGCCUGGGGAGUACGGUCGCAAGACUGAAACUUAAGGGAAUUGGGGGGGGAGCC
rnacentral:rRNA from 1 species